GAAGAAAACACGACGUAGCCUACAUGACGUUUGGAGAUUGAACUUUUCAAGUCAUUUUAGCGCCAUUUCUACGCGCUCUGCAUAGCUGGAACAACGGCCUGACUCCAAGCUACAUUUCUUCUUGAAGUAAGUAACAUGCCUACAUCAUUAUCUCAGCUAUAUUUUAAUUUGAGGCUUUGUUUUCUACAAUUUUGCGUCGCCUUUGCAAAAACGUUGAUGUAAUGUAGGUUAUGGGUUUCUGCAUUGAACAUUAGCUAGCUAACGUUAGUUUACCAAAGGUUGGCUAAGAAAAUGUUUAAUUGUAAUUUCUGUGGCAGCUGGUCGGUUAAAACACAGAGGGGUUAUGUGCUUCAUUGCAAACUUCAUAGAAAUGAACCACGUUGUUUGUUUAAGUGCUUUGAAGCUGGUUGAAAACAGACCUUUGUACAAACGUGUUUUGCAGGCUGUCACAAAGCUGAAAAUUCUUAGAGGACAGUUGGAGGGCUGCUCAGAAGACGUGAAAGACAUGGUGCACCUUCUUCUCUCCUAUUUUGAUGAAAAGGAGGAGAACCUCUUCCACUAUGUCGAAGAAUCAUGUCUGGCAGACGAAGUAGUAGUGGAAAGCUUGCCUGUCACACCAUGCAUCAUUGUAUGUGGAACCUCCUGCUAUGCCUCAAGGCAGUUCAUGCUAAGUGUAGACGGCAAGGUUGUGAAUGACCAAAUCCCAAACUUUGUUUCUGCCAUCUGUUUGAUGUUUGGAAGCUAUUACUGCUUCAAUAUCCACUAUCCUGUGGUUCUGGGCUCCACACUUGAGUUCCUUCAGAGGUGUUUCUUCCUGAUCAAUCCAGAGAAGGGCACAAAAGUUGAAACCAAGAAAAACAAGAAGCAACUUUCAGUGAACUUGAGUUCCUUCAGAGGUGUUUCUUCCCGAUCAAUCCAGAGAAGGGCACAAAAGUUGAAACCAAGAAAAACAAACUUGUUAUAUCUUGCCAGAACAAACUUUUCAGAUAAGCAAGGUAGGUAAGCUACUAGGAGGGACUUUGCAGAGCUUGUUGACUAGCCAUGCAUUUGAUUUAAUAAAGCUGUCCCUAAGGAAAAUUCAAGCCUUUGUUUCAGUGCUUUUGUUGUUUUGUGGCAUUUCUAAGAAGAAUCUCCUUUUAAGGUAAGUAAAUUGCACAUAUAUGUAAAUAUUUAAAUUAGUAGAAGAGCAGUUUGAACAGGUAAUUAAGACAAUGUACUCUUAUCUUGUAACAUUUAAUGAAUUUGCCCUUGCCACCUUUCAGACAUUGCAUUCAAACUUGAGGUGCUGGUUUUCAUGACACGCAGGAAAACGAAGUAGAGAGAGAGAGAGAGACAGGAAACACUGGAUUGAGAGGGAAUGAUCUGCAGCAAAGAGCCCACGAGGAAUCAAACCUUUGUAACGAUAUACAGGCUUAACCAGGCUGCAGAGAGGAUCCUCCCAAUCCACAGUGAAGAUGGUCAACAUGCGAGUCCUCAAGCAGAACUUCCUGAACAGCUCCGCUUCCUGAACUGUGUGUCCGUGUGAGACCCUAUGACUCGUUAUGAUCAAGUGGCUAAUCUUUUCAUGUUUAUUCAUGAUAUACCUUCAUGUCCACAUGCUGUUUCUUCAAGAUCUCAACAAUGCCUUGUGAGUAUACGGUUAAGUUAUUGGAUCAGUGCAACCUGUUUCUCACAUAGAAUGUUAGUUUCUUAAGGUUUAUCAACGAUGGUCUGUAUCUUGAUUUACAAUAGGCGUUAUUUGAUAUUUCCAUUGUAAUUUACAAUAAGUGAAUGUUGACUGUAAAAUCUAUGCCAACCAAUUGUAAUACGUUGUACCAUAUUUUUUGCAACGGAAUUUGGGCAACUGCUGGCCAUUUACUUUGAACUUGGUAAUAAAAUACCGUAACUCAUA